UGAUAACAUUUUGACCUUUUGAAAACUCUUUGAAGUGGCAAUGGCCACAAAAUUGAGCGGAAACCAAACAUAUUCAGCCCCAUUUCCAGAUAAAUUGGAUUUGCUAAACCACUCAGAAUAACAAGAGCAAGAAUUAGAUGUUCAGCUAAGCUCUAGCUUCUGAUCCUAGAUGGUGGCAAUAACAACGAUAGUAUUAAUGAUAAUAGCAGAAACUCUUAAUAUGUGUGAGGCAUUCUUCUAAAUGCUUUACAUAUAUUAAUUUAAUGUUCAUCGGAGCAGAUUCUCCUACUGUAUCCAAGAGAUCAGAAAUUCAGAGCAAAAAGCAGAUUGCUGCCUGAUAGCAGAUCCACUCUAGGAAUGGGGAGAUUUUCUCAUAAAUCUAAUGACUGGUGAAAGUGACAAGAGGUUAGUCCACUCAGUGUUGGAAAGGACAAGAUCCUAGAAAGUGGAAAUGCUCCACUAUUGCUUUAGGGGGAACAGCCUGGCUACAACUGGGCAGACUUUCUAUUACUAACAUCAGGAUAAUAGGGAAGCUCCUGCCAAUGCUGCAUAGAACUAAGAACACUUAGCAGUGAUGGCUGACUUCCAACUGAGCCAUUAAGGUAAGUGUAGAAGAAAGCUCCAGGUAGAAAUAUCUUUGGGAACUCAGAGAACACACUGAGUGUUUGAAGCUGGUACUUAAUCUAUUAUUGAACUCAGAGUUUGCCAUUCUGGGGCCAAUUUGAGUCCACUUAUGACACCUCCCACAGCACUGCUCAUUUCUGUUAACUGGGCUUCACAGAGGGUGAGAAGGGCAGCAAUCAGAUCAUAUAAUUGGGCCUCAUUGUAAUAAAAUGUUGAUUUCUGUUGUCCUUGGACUUCCUUCCAGCCACAAUCACUCUAUGAUCUUGUCUGAGAUUCUUUUUCCUUUCUCUCUCCAUUUUGCUGACUGUAAUGGAAUAAUAGCAGAAGCUCUCAAUCUGUAUGAGGAAUAUAUAUGAAGAAUGUGUAACAUUCACUGUGUUUCCUAAUAGAUGAAUUAUCUAAAGGACACCUCUUAAGAAGAGAUGAGAUGGAGCCAACUGUCAGAAAAAAAAAUGGGUGAAGAAAGUUUCAAGGAGAAGACUCCACAGAGCAGAAUGGGAAAGAUGGCCAGGAGAAAAGUGAGAUAAUAAAAGGAAAAGCAGUCCCUGACACAGAAGGCAGUGCUGUUCCUGAUAAGACACAUGACACAAAAUAUGGUUUUGCUGAGUAUCAAGUUUACUGAGGCUGCCUGGGAACUUGAGCUGUCAGCCAAACAGGAAGAAGGGCCCUUCUGCCUACUCCAAAAGGCCUCAGUCAAAUGGAUAUGUUUACUGAGGCUGCCUGGGAGCUGUCAGCCAAACAGGAAGAAGGGCCCUUCUGCCUAACUCCAAAAGGCCUAAGUCAAAUGGAUAUGGUGAGAUUUAAUGAUGGAUAUAAAUUACAGCAAAUGGAUUUCCUAUAGAGUGAGGGAAAAAAAAAAUCCAGCUACUCCGGAGACUGAGGCAGAAUUGCGAGAACCCGGCAGGUGGUUGCAGU